UUGCGGCCAUAUCACGUUGAAACACCAGUUCUCGUCAGAUCACCGAAUUUAAGCAACGUCGAGCCUAGAUGUGUGACCCCUUAGGAAUCCCAGGUGCU